rnacentral:rRNA from 1 species
CCUACGGGAGGUUGCAGUGAGGAAUAUUGGUCAAUGGCCGGAAGGCUGAACCAGCCAUGCCGCGUGAAGGUCAGUGCCCUAUGGGCGUUAAACUUCUUUUGUGCGGGAGCAAUAAUGGUCACGUGUGGCCAGACGAGAGUACCGUACGAAUAAGCAUCGGCUAACUCCGUGCCAGCAGCCGCGGUAAUACGGGGGAUGCAAGCGUUAUCCGGAUUUAUUGGGUUUAAAGGGUGCGUAGGCUGUGAGGUAAGGCAGCGGUGAAAUGCCCCCGCUCAACGGGGUGAAGUGCCAUUGAUACUGCCUGGCUGGAAUGCGGAUGCGGUGGGAGGAAUGUGUGGUGUAGCGGUGAAAUGCAUAGAUAUCACACAGAACACCGAUUGCGAAGGCAUCUCACGAAUCCGCGAUUGACGCUGAUGCACGAAAGCGUGGGUAUCAAACAGGAUUAGAUACCCCAGUAGUC